AGCAGCCGCGGUAAUUCCAGCUCCAAUAGCGUAUAUUAAAGUUGUUGCAGUUAAAAAGCUCGUAGUUGAAUUUCGGGGUUAGUAGGUUGGUCAUGCCUCUGGUAUGUACUGGUCUCACUGAUUCCUCCUUCCUGAUGAACCGUAAUGCCAUUAAUUUGGUGUUGCGGGGAAUUUGGACUGUUACUUUGAAAAAUUAGAGUGUUUAAAGCAAGCUAACGCUUGAAUACAUUAGCAUGGAAUAAUGAAAUAGGACGUUCGAUCUUAUUUUGUUGGUUCUAGGAUUGACGUAAUGAUUAAUAGGGGUAGUUGGGGCAUUAGUAUUCAAUUGUCAGAGGUGAAAUUCUUGGA
rnacentral:rRNA from 1 species